CCAAUUCUACCUUCGCCUGGAUUCACACGAUUUACGUUGAACUCAACCUAACCCAUAGGUGGAGCCUCCCACACAACAUCCCGUCUUGUUGGCUUUUCAAUCUGAGCAAUUGAAGCAAAGUUGGAAUUUCUAAAAAUCUCCUUAUGCGAAUUUUCAAACUUUGGCCACUUAGCUUUACUCCAAACAGUAAUUCGUAAUUUAAUUAAAUCAUACAAUUACCUAACAUCCCAAUUCUUUCCAUUAAAAACUAUAUCAUUAUGACUAAGCUAGAUUGACUAAAAGGCAAGCAUCCAAAGUUUUAUCGUAUCGCUAAUGUCAUGCACUGAUCUCCACGAUAAGCCAAUUUCUUGGAUUAAAUGGGAAGACACAACUAAGAUUCCAAUCCAAAAACCACAGACCCCAAAAAGUCCAUAACUCCUCACAAGUAAAGAACAAAUAAUUAGCAGUUUUUGAAAACUAUUUACAAAGAACACAAAUAGCCUAGUCCUCUCCAAUUAAAUUUAUUUUAAUUAGCUCAGAUUUUACAGUUAUUUUCUGCCACAUCAAAUGCCACACAAACAUCUCAGCUUUAAAUGGGGCAUAUCCUAUUCAUAUCUUAUUCCAGAAUUCAUUCUUCUCAGAGUUACUUAAACUCACAAUUUGACAAAAAGAAUUAGAAGAAUACAUACCACUUGGGUUGGCUUUUCAAAUAAUCCCAUCCUUGAACCUGUCCCCCAAUAUGUGUUCCCUCAAGUAACUCUAAAGAUGUGUCCACUGCUCAAAUUUCCACCCAAAUAAUCAUCAUCUGAGUUCAAUUUGCCAUUGCCCAUGCUGACAAAGCCUUCCUCUUUUAUUGGAAGCCAAGGUAAAUAAUCUUAGGAAUUCCAUCUUGAAUAUGAAGCCAUCAAAC
rnacentral:lncRNA from 1 species